rnacentral:rRNA from 1 species
AUAGGACGUGCGGUUCUAUUUUGUUGGUUUCUAGGACCGCCGUAAUGAUUAAUAGGGAUAGUCGGGGGCGUCAGUAUUCAACUGUCAGAGGUGAAAUUCUUGGAUUUGCUGAAGACUAACUACUGCGAAAGCAUUCGCCAAGGAUGUUUUCAUUAAUCAGG